rnacentral:rRNA from 1 species
AUUGAACGCUGGCGGCAUGCCUUACACAUGCAAGUCGAACGGCAGCGGGGACUUCGGUCCGCCGGCGAGUGGCGAACGGGUGAGUAACGUAUCGGAACGUACCAUUGAGUGGGGGAUAACGUAGCGAAAGUUACGCUAAUACCGCAUAUUCUCUCCGGAGGAAAGCAGGGGACCGCAAGGCCUCGCGCUCUUUGAGCGGCCGAUAUCAGAUUAGCUAGUUGGUGAGGUAAAGGCUCACCAAGGCGACGAUCUGUAGCGGGUCUGAGAGGAUGAUCCGCCACACUGGAACUGGGACACGGUCCAGACUCCUACGGGAGGCAGCAGUGGGGAAUUUUGGACAAUGGGGGCAACCCUGAUCCAGCCAUGCCGCGUGAGUGAAGAAGGCCUUCGGGUUGUAAAGCUCUUUCGGCCGGGAAAAAAUCGCAUGGGCUAAUACCCUGUGUGGAUGAUGGUACCGGAAUAAGAAGCACCGGCUAACUACGUGCCAGCAGCCGCCGUAA